AUCAAAAUAUAUUUUCCACACUAACUAUUUAUAAUCUAAAGAUUUAUUUUACGUAUAAAGUAGGAUUUUUGAUGACAAAAAAAAAAGUAUAAAGUAGGGUUUUAGGGCCUGACUGGUUUAAACGCAGCGGGUGCAGUUGCGGUUGCGGGAGUUUGCGAAAACGGGCAGUUGCGGUUUCAAGCGUUAUCAAGCGUUUUGAACGACUGGUUGAACGUUUGAUAAUGGGUGCGUUUGCGGGAGUUUUAUGACUGGUAAACCAGCGGGUGUGAUAGUAAUUAAACAAAAAUAAACCAAAAUAAAUAUAAUAUAUUACUAUUAAAAGAAAGAAAAAAUACAAUAUAUUAUUAUGAUAAAUUCAUAAUAUUAGAAAAAUUAAACAUAAUUAAUAAUUAAAACCAUAAAUAAAACAUUAAAUUCAAAAAUAAAUAAAUUUUGUAAGAAAAAGUUUAAUACUUUAUGCAUUUGGUACAUUACCAAAAAUUGCAUCAAAUAGUGUGAUAAACUGUAAAUAACGUUGAACUCGCGGGUUUUCCGGAUUGCCUCUAUAUAAUAAAGUUUCUUCAAGAUAUCCAAACGAUUUUUAACACAUCUCCAACUAAAUUUUUUUCCAAACUGGUCGUGAAUGGAUGAACGGAUAGAUCAUACUUACGUUUGAUUCUUGAUUUUGAUUUUAAUUUUCAUCCGUUUGGGUGGAUGCCAUAAUUGAGAGAAUAGAGUUACAAUAUAUUGAUUAGGGUUUUCUAACAAGAAUAAGAUAUAUAGGGUUUGGGUGGAAGAUAUAAUUAUUUUAAUUAAUUAU
rnacentral:sRNA from 1 species